rnacentral:lncRNA from 1 species
AAUUUAGAAAGCAAAGUCUUCUGAGCAUUAUUUUCUUAAAGCACCUAACUUGAAAUAUUUGAAACUUAAAAUAUAAUGUAAAAAAUUGUAUUACCAAAACUAUUGUUAAUACUAAGUCUAAAACCUUUCAGAUAUUUUAACAGUAUAUGAAUACAUUUUCUCUUUUAGAAAAUUAUUAAUCAGACAAGUUUUGCCUUCUUUUUCUUCCAACAUUCUAUUCUGUUCAGGAUUAUUUGAUUUUUCUUUCCUGUGGCUGUAUCAUGUUCCAUCUUUUUCAGCAAGCAAAAAGUGCUCUUUCCUUCAGUCUGACUUAAUUUUUUCGAAGAGUUAAGAAAUGAAAAAGAUCAGCAGAGAGGUCAAUUGUAUUUUUUUCUAUUUCCUUUUUCUCACACUCCUGUGUUUUAGUUUCCUUUCUGUU